GGAAGGGAAAAGAACAGCGGCAGUUCAAACUGGCUUGUAAAGUACAGCUGCUACCUUCAUCAUGAUCUCUUCAUUUUCAGUGUUGCUUCUGGCAACGGCAUCCUGUAUUUCUUCAUUAGACAUCACUCAGCCUGAGUUCCUGACUGUUCGACCUGGUGACACUCUGACUAUCAACUGUAAAGUCUCCUAUUCAGUUACUAGUUCGAGUAAUUAUGGAACAGGCUGGAUUCGUCAGCCUGCAGGAGAAGCUCUGGAGUGGAUUGGAGUGAUCUACUAUAGUGGGAGCUCAGACUACAAGGAUUCACUGAAAAACAAGUUCAGUAUCACCAGAGACACCUCCAGUAACACAAUCACAUUGAAGGGGAAUAAUAUACAAGCUCAAGACACAGCUGUGUAUUAUUGUGCUAGAUACACCACAAUGACAGACAAUUACAGCCUCCCUGUGUACAGUGUCAGACAUUCACUCAGUCUGAAGAAGCAGUUAAAAAACCUGGAGAAUCUCACAAACUUACAUGUACAAUAA